rnacentral:rRNA from 1 species
AUUGAACGCUGGCGGCAGGCCUAACACAUGCAAGUCGAGCGGAGCGGCGGACGGGUGAGUAAUGCCUAGGAAUCUGCCUGGUAGUGGGGGAUAACGUCCGGAAACGGGCGCUAAUACCGCAUACUAUCAGAUGAGCCUAUGUCGGAUUAGCUAGUUGGUGGGGUAAAGGGCUACCAAGGCGACGAUCCGUAACUGGUCUGAGAGGAUGAUCAGUAACACUGGAACUGAGACACGGUCCAGACUCCGACGGGAGGCAGCAGUGGGGAAUAGUGGACAAUGGGCGAAAUCCUGAUCCAGCCAUGCCGCGUGUGUGAAGAAGGCCUGCGGGUUGUAAAGCCCUUUUGGUGGGAAAGCGGUACCCACAGAAUAAGCACCGGCUAACUUCGUGCCAGCAGCCGCGGUAAUAC